GCUCGCUUCAGCUGCACAUAUAGCAAAUUUGGAAUGAUAUGGAGAAGAUUAGCAUGGCCCCUGUGCAAGGAUGACAUGCAAAUUUGUGAAGCACUCCAUAUUAAA